UUACAUGCAACGCUGCAAGCCCCCCCCAAAUAACGCCCCCCCGGCCGCAGCCCCCAGGCUCAGCUGUGCGCUUCCUAUGGAGGAAGCUGUGGUUGGGGCGGUGGGUGAAGCAGCUCUUUGUGCUGCGGGAUCACACCGCUAGCUGGUGAGAGGUUAUGGGGUAAUAGGGGGUAAUGGAAUGGGGUGAUGGGUAAUGGGUGGUAUGGUAAUGGGGUGAUAGGGGGCGAUGGGGGUGAUAUGGUAGUGAUGGGGGCUGAGUCUGGUGUAGAUGGGGUGGUAAUGGGUAAUUGAUGUGGUGAGGGUAAUGUUCGGGGUUGUGAUUAGGGGGUAAUGGGGUAAUGGGGUAAUGGGGUAAUGGGGUAAUGGGGGUAAUGGGGUAAUGGGGGGUAAUGGGGGGCGAUGGGUAAUGGGGGUAAUGGGGCGUAUGGGGGUAAUGGUAAUGGGGGCAAUGGGGGUAAUAGGGGUGAUGGGUAAUGAUAAUGGGGGGUUAUAGGGUAAUGGGGGGUAAUGGGAGGCUAUGGGGGGCAAUGGGGGGUAAUGGGGGGCAAUGGGGGUAAUGGGGGGUAAUGGGUGAUGGGGGGUGGUAGGGUUGGGAUGCAACACAGCGUGGGGCUGCAGUGUUGGUUGCAGUGUGGGGCUGCAAUGCGGGGUUGCAGUGUGAUGUUGCAGUGUGAUGUUGCAGUGUGGGGUUGCAGUGUUGGUUGCAAUGCGGGGCUGCAGUGUGAUGUUGCAGUGUGAUGUUGCAGUGCGGGGUUGCAGUGUUGGUUGCAACCUGGAUCCAUUCCCACCCUUCAGGCCUUCAGGUGCGCGGCCGACCUGCAGCCAGCGCUGCAGCUGGAGCUGCGGGGCUGCAGCGUGUCCUACAAGGAGAAGCGAGGCACAAAGCUGCAGCAUGCAUUGAAGGUGACGGCUGCAGCCGGUGAAGUGCUGCACAUCGGCUUCCCCUGCAGGCAGCAGGCGGAGGAGUGGAGGAAGGUGAUUGAGCAGGUCAGCAUUGCUCCCCCAAUGGGGCUGGCAGCCUGCAGCCCCCCGGCAUCGCCCUGCAGAGCAUUGGGCAGGGUGAGAAUCCCUUCCCUUUCCCUUUCCCUUUCCCUUCCCUUUCCCUUCCCUUUCCCUUCCCUUCCCUUCCCUUCCCUUCCCUUCCCUUCCCUUCCCUUCCCUUCCCUUCCCUUCCCUUCCUUCAUGCAAAGUGAGCAUUAAAAGAUUUUAUUUCCCUCCUCCCAGAGAGCAAAUAUUUUCAAAAUAUUACAUUCAAUUUAAGCUGUUGAGAUGUAAUAAAAGCAGUGAAUUUUGGCCA
rnacentral:lncRNA from 1 species